rnacentral:lncRNA from 1 species
CACAGAGCCUUCACUGCGGUUUCCCUUUCAGCGUCUGGGUGCGGAGUGAGAAUACGCAGGGCCUGCAGAAUGCGGGGCUCACAGCAACCCUCCUAUAAAAGUGGACUGUCAUGCCCAUUCUACAGGAGAAAAACUGAGGCUGGAGAACGCGAGCUAUCCUGUCCAAGGUUAUGAAGCCACCCAGGUUCCAGCCUCCAUGCUUGGCAUACUGAAGUUCUGAUUCGCAAGCUCCCCUUUCAGCGUCUGGUGCUGGAAAUUGCUCAGGACUUCAAAACAGACCUGUGCUUCCAGAGGGAAUCUAUUGGUGCUUUGCAGGAGGCAAGCGAGGCCCAUCUGGUUGGCCUUUUGAAGAUACCAACCUGUGUGCUAUCCAUGCCACACGUGUAAGAAUUAUGACAAAAGACAUCCAGCUAGCACGCCCCAUACGCGGAGAACGUGCUUAAGAGUCCACUAUGAGGGGAAACAGUUCAUUCUCAAAAAUUUUUUUUCCUCUUCUUCCUGUUAUCAGUAGUUCUGAAUGUUAGAUAUUUUUCCAUGG